GUCGCCUGUUUAUCAAAAACAUAGCCUUAUGUACUAAUAUAAGGUGAGCCCUGCCCAGUGAGUAUUUUAACGGCCGCAGUACCCUGACUGUGCUAAGGUAGCGUAAUCAGUUGGCUUUUAAAUGGAGUCGAGAAUGAAUGGGUCUUUGGGGGACCGCUGUUUCUAGGUUGUUUUUUUGAAUUUAUUUAUCGGGUGAAAAUCCCCGAGUAUAGAAAAAAGACGAGAAGACCCUUAGAAUCUAUAUGACCGCAGUUAUUUAACCGCUAAGUUUUUGUUGGGGCGACAACGAGGCAUGCUAAUUAUAUUAAACCCUCGACAAUAGUGAAGACACGACGAUAUUUAUAAGCAAGAUAAGAUUACCUUAGGGAUAACAGCAUAAUUUUCUUUUAAGCUUGUGACCUCGAUGUUGGACUAGGGACCUUACGACUAGCCGUCGCAAUGGCAAGAUCUGUUCGAUCUAUUUACCCCUACAUGAUCUGAGUUCAGACCGGA
rnacentral:rRNA from 1 species